rnacentral:misc_RNA from 1 species
GCAAACUUGGUCAUUUAGAGGAAGUAAAAGUCGUAACAAGGUUUCCGUAGGUGAACCUGCGGAAGGAUCAUUAACAAAUUGUCCACCAUAAUGGAUAAUUUUUAUCCAUAUCCACCUUGUGUGAAUCAGUGAAGCGUCCGUUGGCAGGCUAAAGGCACUCGAUUUUGGAGCGUUUUGUGUAGCGAGCAUCCAAUGCUCGCUCGGCCUGCCAAUUUUAUUUAACUAAAACUUGUCUAAAUGCCUCUGACUGAAAUUAUAUAUAUUAACAAAAUAAAAUACAACUUUCAACAACGGAUCUCUUGGCUCUCGCAUCGAUGAAGAACGCAGC